UAGGAUUCAGCACGAGUUACAGUGUAUACAAAUGCAAGCCGUUUUCUGUCACAUGCAAAGAAGCCCCUUCACAUCUCACUACAACCAGGGGUGAGAUCUGUCCCCCAGGGGACAUCUGUCAGGCUGUAAUAAGUGGGCGGAGGGUGUUAGUGGUAUCUGGUGAGUAGGAGUCAGGAGGUGACUGAGCACCCUACAGUGAGCAGGACAGUUGCCCCACCCCCACAGAGGGUCCCCAAGUCAACAGCACUGAGCCUGAACAACUUGGAUAGGAACUCAUACUCAAAUCCUCACAAGCAAGUUAUGAUUUGGCUGGGCCAUGAGUUCGAGAAGCCGGACCCAAAAGGCCACAGUCUGUGACUCCAUCCCUGUGACUUUUAACGUGUGGCCCAAGACGGUUCUUCCUCCCCAGGCUUAGACCAGGAGAGUCAAAACAACUGCCGGGCUUGCUUUUAAAACCUCGCUAGCUGCUGUAGGACCGACCGUUCAGAAUUCAAGCCCUGGGGCCCGAGAUGGCUCAGCAAGUAAAGGCACUGAGGACCGGGGUUCGAUCCCGGGGAUUCCACGUUGGUGGAAGGAAAGAACCAGGUACUGAAAGUUGUCCUCUGACCUCCACACGGGUGCGCUGCCACACUCCCCUCCCCCGCAAAUACAUAAAAGGUAACACGAGAGGAGAAAAAGAAAGCAAGCGCUGAAUUCGGACACCCGAGUUCGAAUCCAAGUCUACCCACUCCCCCGCGUCCCUGGGCCUUUCUAAAGGAAGCCAUCGAUCUCUCAGGGUCAUCAAGGCGCACGGAGGAUGCUCGAGGCACCCGAGGACGGCUAAGAUUAGUGCUGCCUCGGUCUCGGUCAGAGAAACAUCUACUUACAGUGGGCAGCAGUUAAUGCAGACUCACUGCUGGCCAAUAUCCCGAGAACAAGUCACUGUUGAGUACUCAGCCCCCAAAGUGACAUCUGUGUCACCGCCUCCACGCCUCAAGGAACAUCAGUUGAAGAGGGGGCGGGAAACACAUGAGAGCCAGAAGACAGUAAGGAGAGCAGGAGAGGAUACAGCCAUUGCACACAAUAGCAGCGGUGAUUCCCUGCUUAAGACCUGUGCAAGACAGGGCCCAUUAUGGAUGGGGAAGGACGCAGGAGACCCCCUCCCCAACCUGAGAAGGAGAGGUGGUGUCCACAAUGUGGGCUGUUUUCAAACGGGACAAAGAGGCAUUCACUGUUGCUCUGCCGACUGAUGACUUCUGAUUAUUUUCAUCAUCUAAGCUUCAGUGGAAAUAUCUUUGAUGACAAGCAGAGAAGCCAUUUCGGAACAAGAUCAAACCCAGUCCCACCAUCACUAUUGACUCCUGCUAAACUCUCUUAAGAGAUCUGUGGAAGACACCGGGACCAGAGGGGCCACAUUUCGGGAUUCCGGAGACAGGAGAAUUGUAAGUGGGUGAGCUGAUAUGGGUGCCGGGAAAGAGGCUGAGAAGAUAAACUUUCACCAGGUGAGUGGACUGUUGCUGAGGUGGGGGCAGGGCAGAGAAACCAGAAGAACUUGUGUCCAUCUCAUUAGUCCUGUGGGGACAAACAAGGGACUUUUGGGAGGUUGAUCUCCCAGAGAAGAACAGAAAACGAGUCUGAAAAUGGCAUUUUUUAGCUUGGGAUAACUGGCGGGUUUGGAUAACGCCACAGGGCAAAAGGCUGAGAAGCCAUGGAGGAAGUUCCAGAAAAACAAAACAGUGUUCAAAAAUCUUGUCAUACUUUGGGAAUUGGGACACAGGGGCAGGGAGAGGGGACUCUG